rnacentral:rRNA from 1 species
CCUACGGGAGACAGCAGUGAGGAAUAUUGGUCAAUGGUCGGGAGACUGAACCAGCCAAGCCGCGUGAGGGAUGAAGGUACAGAGUAUCGUAAACCUCUUUUGUCAGGGAACAAAGGCGGGGACGUGUCCCCGGAUGAGUGUACCUGAAGAAAAAGCAUCGGCUAACUCCGUGCCAGCAGCCGCGGUAAUACGGAGGAUGCGAGCGUUAUCCGGAUUUAUUGGGUUUAAAGGGUGCGCAGGCGGUCUGUUAAGUCAGCGGUAAAAGCCCGGGGCUCAACCCCGGCCCGCCGUUGAAACUGGCAGUCUCGAGUUGGCGAGAAGUAUGCGGAAUGCGCGGUGUAGCGGUGAAAUGCAUAGAUAUCGCGCAGAACUCCGAUUGCGAAGGCAGCAUGCCGGCUCCACACUGACGCUGAGGCACGAAAGCGUGGGUAUCGAACAGGAUUAGAUACCCCUGUAGUC